AGAACUUCAUCUUUGAACUGGCCAACUCAAACUAGAGCACGAGAAAUAGCUUCCAAUUUCGUCUCAUGCAAUCCCUUCUUCACCGUCUUCAUAAAACCUUGUCAUGAGAGACAAUAUCGUCUGUGCGUACCAGAUUUGAAAGACAUUAUUGGGAGCAAGAAGUGUGCGGUGCUACAACUUGGGGAAAGAUCUUGGAAAGUAAAGUUGUUACACAGUACCGAACGUUUUCGACAAUACAGGUUCGGUGCUGGCUAUUACUUAUUUUCGAGUGAGAGUGAAUUGC
rnacentral:sRNA from 1 species